CCCGCACCCCCCGCCUGCCCCGCAUCCCCUGCCUGUGCCCCGGGCUGACUCCCUGGGCCCCUGGCCCCUGUCCGAGCCGGUGGGCCCCCCACUGGCUGCGCUCUCACCCAGGAAACUUGGCAAACACACGGUCCCCUCUUAGGGAUUCGGCCUCAGUGGCAGUUCCCAGCCCCUGGGAAGUCGGCAGAGCGGCGGAGUUGGGGAGCCCCGCGCAGGCACCCCUUCCCGGGCACACCCCGCUGCCCCGCCAACCCGAGUCCUCCCGGGGCCUGACGUGUCCGUGGCCCCACGGAGUGUCCACCUGGGGAGGCCGAGCUCUGUCUCCCCUCGAGGUGGUUCACCCGAUACCAUCAACAUACCAACAACGAGUUGGUGAUCCAACUCCUUGGGAGCUUUUGUGCUCUCCUGCUCUUGCUAAAACAAAAGCAAACUCUUUUUGGCUCAUUUCGGUUUGUUUUUAAAGAAGGAAGCCUGAAAACAAGUAAGACACUAGGAAAAUUAUAAAACUUCAAAAAAAAAUUUUCUACAAAAGCUGGUAAUACCGUUCCUUGGUUAUUAAGUGUGAGUGAUGCCAAACCCACACUCGCUUGACUUUUUUUUUGGUAAAGAUUUAUUCCAGUGAAAUCUCUGCUUCUCAUUUUAUACCAUGAUGUGGAAGGCAUUAAGUUUUUUGAGCAAGAUUCACAUUCUUAGUUUCUUUCCCUGUCUCCCUCAGUAUUGUGUCUCCUCUCUCUGUCUCCACUCCCACCCCCAACACUUUUCUGAUAGAUUCUGCUAGGAUUGAGAAACAAAAGCUGAUCAUUGUGGAAAAGAUUCUACAAGUUUUCAUAAUCAUGUCAGCAAGAUUGCAUAAUCUUCCUUUCUUCCUCCACUGUCCCAUUUUCAGCAUCCCUGGCUUCUAAAUCCUGCUAAGGUAAAGUCACUGCUGGGAUAUUGAGAAAAAAAACAAUGCCUGAUGCUCACUCCUGCUUCUCGAGGGUCAGCAUGCCUCGAUUCCUCUGACACACCGUCCUAUGGCAACCCUCUGAAAUGGAUGUGUUUGGACAGAUCAGCUUCUGAAGGUGAAGACAACCACUCCUUGUUCCCUCAGACCCUCGUUUCAGAGAAUCGGCUGCACAUUUUCUGUGCUGGAUCCAUGAUUAAAUUCCCUCUGUACCGCGAUCCUGGAGACCCGGGAUCGAGUCUCACGUCGGGCUCCCGGUGCAUGGAGCCUGCUUCUCCCUCUGCCUAUGUCUCUGCCUCUCUCUCUCUCUCUCUGUGUGACUAUCAUAAAUAA
rnacentral:lncRNA from 1 species